GGCUCACUACAACCUCUGCCUCCUGGGCUCAGGCAAUCCUCCCACCUCAGCCUCCGAGUAGCUGGGAGGCAGGAGGAUCACUUGAGCCUGAGAGUUCAAGACCAGCCUGGAGAAUAUAGUGAGACCCCCCCAUCUCUCUCUCUCUUUCUCUUUUUUUUUUUUUUUUUAAAGAUAGAGGUGGGAGGAUUGCUUGAGCAUGGGAGUCAGAGGCUGCAGUGAGCUAUGACGACACCUCUGCACUUUGGCAGGCAUGCAUGCGUAUGCACACACGUACACACACUCACAUACACUUCCCAUGUCAAGGUUUGUCUGCAGAGGGAGCUUCACCCACCCAUCUUCCUAGCUUAUCUUUCCAGCUCUCCCUGUCCUGUCCUGGACCUCUGGGCCUUUCCCCAGGACCUUCUCCCCUACCUUUUGUGUUUGAGAGAGUCUCGCUCUGUCACCCAGGCUGGAGUACAGUGUCACAAUCUUGGCUCACUGCAACCUCUGCUUCCCGGGUUCAAGUGAUUCUCCCACCUCAGCCUCCCGAGUAGCUGGGACUGUAGGCGCCUGCCACUACACCUGGCUAAUUUCUUUUGUAUUGU
rnacentral:lncRNA from 1 species